rnacentral:rRNA from 1 species
GACGAACGCUGGCGGCGUGCUUAACACAUGCAAGUCGAACGGUAGGGCCCUUCGGGGUACACGAGUGGCGAACGGGUGAGUAACACGUGGGUGAUCUGCCCUGCACUUCGGGAUAAGCCUGGGAAACUGGGUCUAAUACCGGAUAGGACCCUGGGAUGCAUGUCCUGGGGUGGAAAGCUUUUGCGGUGUGGGAUGGGCCCGCGGCCUAUCAGCUUGUUGGUGGGGUGAUGGCCUACCAAGGCGACGACGGGUAGCCGGCCUGAGAGGGUGACCGGCCACACUGGGACUGAGAUACGGCCCAGACUCCUACGGGAGGCAGCAGUGGGGAAUAUUGCACAAUGGGCGCAAGCCUGAUGCAGCGACGCCGCGUGAGGGAUGACGGCCUUCGGGUUGUAAACCUCUUUCAGCACCGACGAAGCGCAAGUGACGGUAGGUGCAGAAGAAGGACCGGCCAACUACGUACCAGCCGCCGCAGUAA